GAUGAACGCUGGCGGCGUGCCUAAUACAUGCAAGUCGAGCGAACAGACGAGGAGCUUGCUCCUCUGACGUUAGCGGCGGACGGGUGAGUAACACGUGGAUAACCUACCUAUAAGACUGGGAUAACUUCGGGAAACCGGAGCUAAUACCGGAUAAUAUAUUGAACCGCAUGGUUCAAUAGUUAAAGACGGUUUUGCUGUCACUUAUAGAUGGAUCCGCGCCGCAUUAGCUAGUUGGUAAGGUAACGGCUUACCAAGGCAACGAUGCGUAGCCGACCUGAGAGGGUGAUCGGCCACACUGGAACUGAGACACGGUCCAGACUCCUACGGGAGGCAGCAGUAGGGAAUCUUCCGCAAUGGGCGAAAGCUUGACGGAGCAACGCCGCGUGAGUGAUGAAGGUCUUCGGAUCGUAAAACUCUGUUAUUAGGGAAGAAAAAAUGUGUAAGUAACUAUGCACGUCUUGACGGUACCUAAUCAGAAAGCCACGGCUAACUACGUG
rnacentral:rRNA from 1 species